GAUGAACGCUGGCGGCGUGCCUAAUACAUGCAAGUCGAGCGAACGGACGAGAAGCUUGCUUCUCUGAUGUUAGCGGCGGACGGGUGAGUAACACGUGGAUAACCUACCUAUAAGACUGGGAUAACUUCGGGAAACCGGAGCUAAUACCGUAUAAUAUUUUGAACCGCAUGGUUCAAAAGUGAAAGACGGUCUUGCUGUCACUUAUAGAUGGAUCCGCGCUGCAUUAGCUAGUUGGUAAGGUAACGGCUUACCAAGGCAACGAUGCAUAGCCGACCUGAGAGGGGGAACGGCCACAGAGGAAGUGAGAGACGGUCUAGAGACCGAGGGGAGGCAGAAGUAGGGAAGCGUGGGCAAUGGGGGAAAGACUGAAGGAGGGACGGAGGGCGAGUGAAGAAGGGCUGCGGAUGGUAAAACUCUGUUAUGAGGGAAGAACAUAUGUGCAAGUAACGGUGCACAAGUGGACGGUACGUAAUAAGAAAGCCACGGCUAAUUAGGU
rnacentral:rRNA from 1 species